GUUGGGAAUAUACUGUCCCAGAAAAUUUUAAAUCUAUAAUACUCUACUUCAAUAAAUAAUAGGCAGAAAUAGGCUUAGAGAAAAUAAAUAGAGAAAGUGGAAAAAUGGAACCCGAGAUGCUGAGGCGUGGUAUGUUGGUCACUUUCCUUGAAGUAGAUUUCGCCGCCUUACAGUGCACUAGGCUUAGAUGGCGUUCUACUCCUAAGAUACAACA
rnacentral:lncRNA from 1 species